CCCGUUUUCAUCACCGCCGUGCCGACUUCAUCAAACGUCAACGCCGGGCACGCUUAGUUUAACCCGUUUUCAUCACCGCCGUGCCGACUUCAUCAAACGUCAACGCCGGGCACGCUUAGUUUCACCCGUUUUCAUCACCGCCGUGCCGACUUCAUCACCACCGUGCCGACUUCAUCAAACGUCAACGCCGGGCACGCUUAGUUUCACCCGUUUUCAUCACCGCCGUGCCGACUUCAUCAAACGUCAACGCCGGGCACGCUUAUUUCACCCGUUUUCAUCACCGCCGUGCCGACUUCAUCAAACGUCAACGCCGGGCACGCUUAGUUUAACCCGUUUUCAUCACCGCCGUGCCGACUUCAUCAAACGUCAACGCCGGGCACGCUUAGUUUCACCCGUUUUCAUCACCGCCGUGCCGACUUCAUCACCACCGUGCCGACUUCAUCAAACGUCAACGCCGGGCACGCUUAGUUUCACCCGUUUUCAUCACCGCCGUGCCGACUUCAUCAAACGUCAACGCCGGGCACGCUUAGUUUCACCCGUUUUCAUCACCGCCGUGCCGACUUCAUCAAGCGUCAACGCCGGGCAC